rnacentral:rRNA from 1 species
GCAAGAUACCACGGGCGCACGGCGGAUGCCUUGGCACAGGGAGCCGAUGAAGGACGCGGCAAGCUGCGAUAAUCCCCGGCGAGGAGCACACAUCCUUCGACCCGGGGGUCUCCGAAUGGGCGAACCCAUGCACAGCAGUGUGCAUAUCCCCACCCCGAACACAUAAGGGUGGGGAGGACAACCCGGGGAACUGAAACAUCUAAGUACCCGGAGGAGAGGAAAUCAAUCUCGAGACUCCCCGAGUAGCGGCGAGCGAAAGGGGACCGAUGGCCAAACCGUCGAGCGGGCAUACCCGGCAGGGGUUCCGCCGACGGGGUUGCAGGGCCGCGCAUCCGGGGGCUGCCGCCCCCGGGCGCAGGUCCGGCUGGGGAGCGGAACGGCAUGGGAGGGCCGGCCGCAGCGGGUGACAGCCCCGUACGCGAACCCAGACCGGACGGCGCGACGCGGUCCCUGAGUAGGGCCGGGCACGUGAAACCCGGUCCGAACCUGGGUGGACCACCAUCCAAGCCUGAGUACUACCCUGUGACCGAUAGCGCACCAGUACCGUGAGGGAAAGGUGAAAAGCACCCCGGGAGGGGAGUGAAACAGUACCUGAAACCGUGCGCCCACGAGCAGUCGGAGCAACUUUAUGUUGUGACGGCGUGCCUUUUGUAGAAUGAGCCAGCGAGUCGCUGGCGCGGGGCGAGGUUAACCGAAAGGGAGCCGGAGCGAAAGCGAGCCUUAACAGGGCGACUUGAGUCCCGCGCCGCGGACGCGAAGCCGGGUGAGCUAUCCGUGGGCAGGCUGAAGCGGGGGUAAGACCCCGUGGAGGGCCGAACGCACGUCGGUUGAAAACGGCGGCGAUGACCUGCGGAUAGGGGUGAAAGGCCAAUCAAACCCGGAGAUAUCUCGUUCUCCCCGAAAUAGCUUUAGGGCUAGCGUCGCGCGUUCACCGCCGGAGGUAGAGCACCGGAUGGACGAGGGGGCUUCGCCGCCUACCGAAUCCAACCGAACUCCGAAUGCCGGCGGCCCAGAGCGCGGCAGUCAGAGCAUGUGGGCUAAGCUGUGUGCUCGAGAGGGAAACAGCCCGGACCGCCCGCUAAGGUCCCCAAGUUCCAGCCGAGUGGCAAAGGAUGUGCGUCCGCCCAGACAACCAGGAUGUUGGCUUAGAAGCAGCCAUCCAUUCAAAGAGUGCGUAACAGCUCACUGGUCGAGUGGACAUGCGCCGACAAUACACGGGGCUAAGCUGGACACCGAAGCGGCGGGAUUUUAAUUCAUUAGAAUCGGUAGGGGAGCUUCCCAUGGGCGGAGAAGCCGGAGGGCGACCGACGGUGGAGCGCAUGGGAGUGAGAAUGCUGGCAUGAGUAGCGAGAGACGAGAGAGUAACUCGUCCGCCGUGAACCCGAGGUUUCCUGGGCAAGGCUAAUCCUCCCAGGGUCAGUCGGGGGCUAAGGCGAGGCCGGGAGGCGUAGCCGACGCGCAGCAGGCAGACAUUCCUGCACCGCGCACGCGGCGCUACGACCGACGGGGCGACGGAUGGGGGUGGCUCGGCGGGGUUCUGGACGUCCCCGUGAUGGAGCGCGGCCCGCGGACCAGGGAAAUCCGGUCCGCAGAAGGGCGAGGCUCCGGACGAAGCGACUGAGCGAAGCGAGUGAGCCCGAGGUCCCUAGAAAAACCCCUAGGCAGGCGCGUGCGCGCCCGUACCGCAAACCGACACAGGUGGGUGGGUAGAACAUACCGAGGCGAUCGGGUCAACCAUGGUCAAGGAACUCGGCACAAUGGCCCCGUAACUUCGGGAGAAGGGGUGCCCGCGCGUACGUGAACCGGCUUGCCCGGGGAGCGGAGGCGGGCCGCAGUGGAGAGGCCCAAGCGACUGUUUACCAAAAACACAGGACUCUGCAGAAGCCGCAAGGCGACGUAUAGGGUCUGACGCCUGCCCGGUGCCGGAAGGUCACGCGGAGGAGUUAGCCGCAAGGCGAAGCCCCGAAGCCAAGCCCCGGUAAACGGCGGCCGUAACUAUAACGGUCCUAAGGUAGCGAAAUUCCUUGUCGGGUAAGUUCCGACCUGC